rnacentral:rRNA from 1 species
CAGUCGCCGCGGUAAUACGAGGGGGGCAAGCGUUGUUCGGAAUUAUUGGGCGUAAAGGGCGCGUAGGCGGUUUGACAAGUCUGAUGUGAAAUCUCUGGGCUCAACCCAGAGUCUGCAUCGGAAACUGUCGAGCUUGAGUAUGGGAGAGGUGAGUGGAAUUUCCGGUGUAGCGGUGAAAUGCGUAGAUAUCGGAAGGAACACCUGUGGCGAAAGCGGCUCACUGGACCAUUACUGACGCUGAGGCGCGAAAGCUAGGGGAGCAAACAGGAUUAGAUACCCCAGUAGUCCCUGUCUCUUAUAA